rnacentral:rRNA from 1 species
AUGGUAUAUCCUGGUAGUAGUACUAGUAGAAUUGAGAUUGAAUGCACUUUCUUCCCCGUCUUCCACUCUUCUUCCUCCUCUCUUCUUCUUCCUCCUCUCUUCCCCAUUGUCAGCCGCACACCAUUUACCCCCGCUCACGGCUCGCCCACCGCGCCAUCUUCCUUGGUAGCUCGCACUUUGAAGCACUCCUCUCGUUUGAAGGAUAUAUACCUUCCUGGGAUCAAGUGCAUCCUAACUCACCUGCUACCAUAUAACUGGAAUUACCGAUGCAAGUCGAAGAAGGAUUGGCCGGUGCUGCCGGCUGGCGUCAAGUUCGAUCCCACGGAUCAGGAGCUGAUCGAGCACCUUGAGGCCAAAGUGAGUGCUGACAGCGCGAGAUUUCAGUCUCUCAUCGAUUUGUUCAUACCAACCAUCGACAGCGAGCACGGCAUAUGCUACACCCAACCUGAGAAACUUCCAGCGCAAUUCCAGGGCAUUCAAAAGGGGCACGUGGACGCGUCGCAAGAUACAGUCGGAGUGCGGCAUGCAUGCGAUGUGGCACAAGACCGGCAGUACCUUGCCGGUGAUGGUCAACGGCCGGCAAGACGGGCAGCAAAAAAGGUUCUGGUGCUGCACACCAACAAGAACUUCGACCAGCAGAGGACCAACUGGGUGAUGCACCAGUACCACUUCGGGGACCUGGAGCAAGAGAAGGAGCGGGAGCUGGUCCUCCGCAAGAUUUUCUACCAGACGAACACUAGGGCCAGGAGUAAAAAGAUUAUAAGUUAG